rnacentral:rRNA from 1 species
CGCGCAGGCGGUUUGUUAAGUGAGAAGUGAAAGCCCUCGGCUUAACCGGGGAACGGCUUCUCAUACUGGCAGACUAGAGGAUGGGAGAGGAAAGCGGAAUUCCCGGUGUAGCGGUGAAAUGCGUAGAGAUCGGGAGGAACACCAGUGGCGAAGGCGGCUUUCUGGACCAUUACUGACGCUGAGGCGCGAAAGCGUGGGGAGCAAACA